CGCUGGCGGCGUGCCUAACACAUGCAAGUCGAACGGGGUUACGAGAGCUUGCUCUUGUAACUUAGUGGCGAACGGGUGAGUAACGCGUGAGAAACCUGCCUCUCAGUGGGGGACAACAGUUAGAAAUGACUGCUAAUACCGCAUAACCCGCUAGGGUCGCAUGACCCAGACGGAAAAGAUUUAUCGGUACGAGAUGGACCCGCGUCUGAUUAGCUAGGUUGGUGAGGUUAAACGGGCCCACCAAGGCGACGAUCAGUAGCCGGCCUGAGAGGGUGAACGGCCACAUUGGGACUGAGACACGGCCCAAACUCCUACGGGGAGGCAGCAGGUGGGGAAUAUUGCACAAUGGGGGAAACCCUGAUGCAGCAACGCCGCGUGAGUGAAGAAGUAUUUCGGUAUGUAAAGCUCUAUCAGCAGGGAAGAAAAUGACGGUACCUGACUAAGAAGCCCCGGCCAACUACGUG
rnacentral:rRNA from 1 species